UCAAACUAUUCUCAAACUACCACUAAGUUAUUAUUCUUAAAUAACUCCUCUCAUCAAACACAUCAAAUAACUGCCCAACACAAAAACAUACAUAAUUUCCUAAGAAUAGAAAAUCUACUUUAAUUUGGCAUUCCAGGGUUAGAGUUUUAAAAUUGGAUUCAAUUUGAUCUUUCAGGCUUUAUCUAAAACUAAUCCUUAACAUUAAUAUUUACUAAAAUAAAAUACUCUACCCAUAAUUCCUGAAAGCUCAUAUUUUUUGACAUUAGUGUCCACUCCUUAUCCUCUCCUACUCCUUAAAAAACAAAACCAAAAUAAUUCCAUAAUUUAUUUCUGGCAUAUCAACUCUUACCUCAAUAUCAACCCAUUUGUUUGUCAAAGUUCAUGUUGAACUCCAGGAAUAGAGCAUGUGAACCAAGCUUGGCCAAUCGAUGCAUCAAAUUUUUCUGGCCACAAUAAUUAUUUCAGGAAUGGACAUAUAAUCCAUGUUUGUUCAAUUAAAAUUAAUCUAGGACUUGUGGGGAUAUUCCUGAGAAAAGUGUCAGGAUAGGAUCAACUAGCCUGCAGUAACAAAUACCAAAGCUCAAUAGCUUAAUCAAAUAAGUUUUUUGCUUAUGUCAGUCUGGUGGGUUAGUGGAUCCCCUUUGGGGCUCUCCUCUAAAUGGUGACUCAGUGAUCCAGCACCCUGUACACUGCCAUCUUAAACAAGAGACGGAAAAGAGGGAUGAGAAUAUGGUGGCACAUGGCCAGGUUUUACUUAUGUCCAUCAGCAAAACCCAGUCACGUGGCUUCAACCUAGUUCCAAGAGGGAUGGGAAAUACUCUUUUUCUAUGUGCUUAGGAAGAGGAGAGGAAAAUGAAACAAGAAAGAUAAACACAUAGGAUUGUUUCAGUUAUAUGAUGAGGGUGGAGUGGGAUAGUAUAGAAAAUGUAAAGUUGUGGAGCCACUGAAACAUAUCAAAAUAUCAGGAUUAAUCUUUUAGUUCCAGAAAAAGUCAAUAUAUGGCUUUUUCUUGGGCCAGAAAUGUAUAGUAGGCUCAGAAAGAAUACUUUGAGUCCGUAUCCACUCAAAGUAUCCAGGAACAGGGAUAGAGAAAGACACUAACUCACAUAUUUAACAACUUCCUAUCUAUUAUGUGCUGAGCAUUGUUCUAAGUGCUAGGAAUACAGCGAGUGAACAAAAGAGGCAAAUAUUCUUUGUUUAGUAACAUGCAUGCAGUGGUGUGUUGGUAAAGGUUUAAAACAGGCUCCCUGGAGAAAUGGGCUCCAUUGCGCAGUAAUUGCUAAUUUCUUGUUGGAAAUAUUCCCACCAUGGCUGAUUUCAAGUUACAAACAUGGUCUCCCUAAAUGUGGAGUUCAGAAGGGAUGCACACAGUUGGUUCUCUUGAACUGGUAUGAAAUGGCUAUAGUACACAGAUGCCUAUAUAAGGGAUAGAACUCUGUGUGUGUGUGUGUGUGUGUGUGUGUGUGUGUGUGUGUGAGAGAGAGAGAGAGAGAGAGAGAGAUAAAAAAGAGAAAGAGAGAGAGAAAUAGUGUAAAAUUCAGGAUAAUAGUUAUUUCUAGAGGAGAGGCGGGGGCAGGAUGACGGAAGCACAGAGAAAGGUAUUAGUUAUUGGUAAUGUUUUAAUUUCUGGAUUGGGUGGUGAUUUUAUGAUGUUCAUUAUAUUAUUUAAUGAAUGAAUGAACAACUGAAAAUAAAAGAGGAACAUGCAUAAAACCAAUGAAAAUAAUACAUUAUGAAUAAAAAAUUCGGAUGAAGCCAAUUUGGUGUGACUGAGAACCAGAUAAGAAAGUGAGGUAUGUCAUAUGGAAUCUCAAAAAGCUCAAAAUAUCUCUUCAGCUGGAGAAAUGGUGGGAAGGAGAAGAUCCAGAAGCUGUCAGUAGAGAUGUGCAAAGGGCAAACGGACAGGUUCUUGCAUGCCCUUAAAAGACUAACCUAUUAGCUGCUUUUGAAGCAUCAGUGCAAGUGACCCACUUUCUCAGGUGUCCUAGAAAGGAGCUGAACCAAUCACAGGGUGACAGGGAUUCAGUGUAGAGUGUGGGAACAGUGGGGAUAGGGCUCCGUGGUGCAGGCAGUACCCAAAGGUUGCUGUGGAAUUUUGGGGACUGGAUGUUUCUCAUAUGCCCUAAUGACAAAACAUGGAGGUAUCAAAAGCACUGGUGGACUGGUUUGUCCUGCCCUGGCCAAGAAUGUGCUGCUUAAGUAAAGUGGUUGGACUCACAGGCUUCAGCAUGUGGCCAGAAGUCUACACGCAAAAUUAGAUGAGCUGGCUGCACCUCAGUGGUCACCAGUGCAGGAGACACAAAAAGCAGCUGUGUUACAUAUUCUUUUCCUCCAAAUCUCUGUCCCACCUGUGGAGAGCAGCCAGAGGAAGAGAACUCUGAGACCCUGAGCACUUUAAAGAUAUGGAGCUGUCACCUAAAGGGGUUGUUGACCUCAUUACCACGGCCAGCUUUGUGGGUGUGUGAUCAGAAGUACCCCACCCUUGUUUACACACUCUACUGUCACCAUCUUGAAACUCUCAACUUUUGAGAAAGGGAUCAUGCAUUUUCAUUUUUCAAUGAGCCUGCAAGUUAUGUAGCUGGUUCUUUUUAUUACCGUGUGCUGAGUUUACUUAGAAACUAACCUAAAUAUUUAGGGUUGCCCUCCCGCUCUCUACAGAAUGGAGUAAGUACUGAAGAAAUUGAGAUGAUUUACAGAGAUAUAUAGAAAUAGUUUCUGAGCCCGUUCUGAGAGUAGUGGAGCGAUUUCACCUUGCCACAAGUACAUGAAAGUAUUACUGCGUGUUAACAACCCAUCUGUCUCUUGGAUCUCAAGGCUCUUCACUUGCUGUUUUUCUUGACCUCCAUUCCCACUACACAGCAGCAACACAUAUGCAUAUGCGCUCCCUGGGCCUCAUUAUGAAAUCUCAGAAUUUACAAUAAAUCUCAAGCUACAACUUUCUUACGCACAUGCCUCUCCCAACCCUCUGCAUGUGCAGAACUUGCUAUUUCACUGGAAUUGCUAAUCAUCCAGCUUCAGUCGUUAGCUCACUCUACUUUUUAUUUUUAUUUUAAAAUAUUUAUUUAUUUGGAGACAAGGUGUCUCACUCUUCUCACCCAGGCUGGAGUGCAGUGGCACCACCACCACUCACUGCAGCCUCGAACUCUCGGGCUCAAGCAAUCCUCUUGCCUUGGCCCCUCAAGUACAUUUGCUCAGUCUUGAUCACGUGGCAUGUCUACAAGAGCCUGGCCUCCAUGGUAAGCUGCCCUUACCCUCACAUCAGACUGCCAAGGUUUAUGCUCCCAGUUGAAGGGGAGAAAAAACAAUUUUUCCUCAACCCUCAUUAGUUUAUAGUUGAGACGAAUCCUACAACAGAAGACAUUAACAAGAGAAAAGCAAGUUUAUUCAUGAAUGUGUUGCACAUCAGGUGAAAAAAAAGUAACUCAAAGUAGUUGCUUCAAGUCUGGCAUAUAUAUUACCUUCCAAAUGACAAGAUAGAGGAAAGUAAUCUCAGGCUUCCAAAAGCAAGAAAACCAUGGAAAAGUAAAUGCAUGGAGAAAGUAAUAGAAUCUGCUUGGGUUCCCCUGGUGCCACCUCUAAGUUAAUAAAGGUUGUCAAGGAGAACUAUAGGUGGGAGGGAGUAGAAUAGACAGAUAUCUUGUCUUUCUAAUUCUCUGUCCUGUUUUAAGGCAAACAGGGAAGACAAAGCUCUCCUGCAUCUGCUUCUUAAUUGCUUUCAUGUAAAAAAAUUUAUGUCAAAGAGGCAUAUAUUGAGGUGGUAUAAUCUGGUUUUCUUCAGAAUCAAGGAGGAGACCAAGUCUUGUUCCACUAACUCCUUUUGUUUUACACAAUUUUUUUUUUGGAUUGUUUGAAGCCUGAAAUCUUCUUGAAAAGACAGGCCACAGUUUACUCAUCUUUGUAUUCCUAACACCUAGCAUUGUGGCCGGUCCAGAGAAGGAGCUUCAAAAUCCUUGUGGAAUUGAACUGAACAAUCUUCUUUCAAUCCUACUCUCUCCCCUUACCUGUAGCAUCUGACCUGCCCUCUAACUUCAGCAGGAAAAUCAGACCUGGGACAAGAUACACACAGCUCCACUCUCCGCCCCUCACACUUUAGGAGUGGGUUUUUUGAAAUUCUUUCCUUGGCCUUCUGUUCAUUUCUUCUCAUUCCACCUCCCUUCCCAUCAUGUCUCCUAUCUCAUGGCAACACUGUUGUGACAAGCUUAAUCUCUGUGGGGUUCUGAAGACCCUUGAAAGUGUGGCUUUAGGCUGCCUGUCCAGCCUCAUUGCUUGCUGCUCUCCACUCUGGCCAUGCUGCUUUCCCACAAAUCUUCACCACUUGUGUGCCUGAGAUGCCUUUUCCUCUUUUGACUCCAUCCUUUACAUCCUGUUCUUCAUGGCACCAGCACAAAAUCUUGAUGGUGAAAGAUUUAGAUGACAGCAAACAUAUCUUUUCAAAAUCUUACAUCUUUUGAAUCUUAAUUUUUCAAGCAUUUAGGGACAACAAGCUAAGAAAAUGAAGAAAAUGUCAAUCUCCUCUUUAUUCUAUGUCCUCUGCAUCUUUCUCUUAAUUUCUGCUCUCCUCCCUUCAAAGACACAGACACACAGGCACAGACACACUCAGAGAGAUAACUUCCAUGGGUAAAAUCCCUCAUGAGAAUGAGAUUAUUUAGGAUCAGGGGAGUUAGAACCCACAAACUUCUCAUCUUUCACCAGCUCUGACUCAAUUGCUGUUGGGCUCAUCUUACAUCUGUAAGAAUAAGACAGAGUAGGGAACAGAGUAAGGGAUGAGUCAGUCAAUAUUAGAAAUUUAAAGAAAGGAAUUACAGAACUAGAAUUACUUUAAAAUGCUGUGAAAGUGACUCUCAUAAUCCCAUAGAUUUAUGCCGUUGUUCACAGUGACUAGCAGGGAAGGAAUUAUCAAAUCUUUAGAGCUUGAAGAAAAUCAUUUUCCCAGCUAUGCUAGCAAAGAAAAUUGCUACUGAUUUGUAACACUACAGUUAGACUUGAGGCAAUACUUUCCCUUCUAAAUUCUCAUAAAUGUAAGAAACCAGAUUAUAGUUUAUAAAAACCAUAAAAAUUUCUGACUAAGCCAGAGAGAGAAAAAGAGUGUAUCCGGUAGAGUUUAUUAUGCAACCAGUCUACUUAUUCUGACCAGGUUGAAAAUGGGACAUAGGGUGAUGGUUAAUUUUAUGUGUCAAAUUGGCUAGGCUACAGUAUCCAGGUAUUUGAUAGAUUAUUCUAGACGUUUCUGUAUUAUAAAAAAGUGUUUUCUAGAUGACAUUUUAAUUUUAACCGGUAGAUUUUGAGUGAAGUAGAUUGCCCUCAAUAAUGUGGGUGUGCCUCAUUUAAUCAGUUAAACGUUUUAAGGAGACUGGUUUCUGAAUUCUGUGGGCAGUUGGCCUUCUGAUUUAAACUGCAGCUCUGACUGUUCUCUGGGUCUCCAGCCUGAUGGCCUCCUUGCAGAUUUGGAACUUGCCAGCUCUGCAAUUAUGUUUUCAUGGUAUGCAGAUUUGAAUAAGAAACAAAGUGGAAGAAAAAAGUGAAGGAAAGAGAAGAGGAGAAGAAAUCUGGAAGGAAUGAGAAACAAAAUAGGAAGGAAGAAAAGGAACAUCUUCAUUGAGGUCCAGUCCCUUUAUGGAAUCUCAUUAACUAACCACAUGGGCUGUUCUGCUUUAUCCAACAACAUCAGCAAUGGAGGCAGUUUCCUGCUACAGAGAGAAGCAUCAGGCUCUGGAGGUAGUUCUUCCAAUCACUUCAAUGUCUUCCUUACCGUCUUUGUGCUUUGGUAGUAAAGAGGCAUAAUCAUAAUACCUAUUUCUCAUGGUUGUUGCUUUAAAUGAGACUAUAUAUAUAAAACACUUAGGUACAAAAGUGUUUGCUAGAAUAUUUAUUAAUAUUAUCUUUUUGAUUGGCCCAAAGUCUUUUCUCAGAAAGAGGCAUCCCAUUUCCCAUUAUCAGCAGCAAAAGAGUCUAUCAGGUAUAACUAUUUCUCUGUUUAAAGGGUGACUUCAGGGCAGUCUUGGAGCCCAGUGGGCAAAUCUCACAGAGUCUGUGUUUUCCUUUGUUAAUUAUUUAUUCUUGUUUUUAGAACUACCAUGCACCCUGUAUGUGGAGAAAACAUAUUUAAAGAAUUGAAGUAAAAUAAAACAUUCAACACUGAAACUGUAGUGAGCACAUUGACUUCUGAUGGCUCAGAAGCCAUUUCAGGAUUCUGUGGUCGCUUGUCCUCCCUACCCCCAUGUGUGGUAUAAGACUGAAUCUCUCCAAUAGUAAUCUAAUGAGAUAUCCCUGUGUGAAUCCUGUGUGAACUGCUGUCCCUGACGUAAGUUGAGUGAAAAAAAGUUAUAGAGUACAUAGGAUAAGAUUAAAUUUUUAUGUAAAAAUUACCACAGUUUUCUCUAUAUGUCUGUGCUAUUUAUUUCUGUUUCUGUCUCCAUAUAUAAUUCUAUUUCCUUAAGUGUCUAUGUGUCCAUAUCUAUUCCUUUAUUGUUUUAUAUACAUAGGAAAAGAGUCUAGAGUGAUACACAGUAAACUCUCUAUGAGGUCCUGUGGCUGCCCCCUGGGAAAGCAUGUGGAGGAGGCUCUUACUCAGGUGAUAAAUGAAGGUUCGGCAGAUCUCUUGGGAAGAGAACACAGGACACAGCAACGGUUAAAAAUUGGACUACUUUAUUUUUAGGCUGUUUGU